GGAAUAUUGAAGAAUGACCAUAGCCUUAUCCAUGAAAGCUCUAGAGUCUAACAUCCACGUUAAAUGGGAUGAAGCUAAAGUCAUAAAAACUUUGAAAAAAGAAAAGCAUGCUAUCUUAGCUAAGGCCUUGGAAAUUUACGCUAAUGAAAGAACAAGCAACCUAAUAAAAUUAAUCAACCGACUAAGGAAUUACCCGCCUCAUGGAAAUAUCUCUUAGGUAAAGAGAACCUCCAGUGAGGAUGAAGAAUGACCCUUUGCGUUAACAGAAUACCACUUUAUGGAGGAUAAUGAUAUUGCGCAGAUCUGGAGUCGUGCAAAACCUAUCUGGAGUUGACACAAUUACCUAUAUGCUAUGAUUGUGCAGAUAGCAUUUAUUUAUUUUUGUUUAUUUUUGAAUAUUUAAACCAUGUUUUGUUUAUCAGUUAGACUUUAUUUUAUGCUUUAUGUCUAUGUUAUGUAUCCUUAUCGUGCUGGAUUUACG
rnacentral:lncRNA from 1 species